UACGUAGGUGGCAAGCGUUGUCCGGAUUUACUGGGCGUAAAGCGCGUGUAGGCGGCUUUGCAAGCCAGAUGUGAAAUCCCCGGGCUUAACCUGGGAAUGGCAUUUGGGACUGCAAGGCUCGAGUGCGGCAGAGGAGACUGGAAUUCCUGGUGUAGCAGUGAAAUGCGUAGAUAUCAGGAGGAACACCGAUGGCGAAGGCAGGUCUCUGGGCUGACACUGACGCUCAUGCACGAAAGCGUGGGGAGCAAACAGG
rnacentral:rRNA from 1 species